rfam:Rhizobium sp. Leaf453 contig_8, whole genome shotgun sequence.
ACAUUGCAAUCUGGUGGUGGGCUCGCUAAAGCGGCCUUGACCAGUCAUGCGUGAUUGAGACGAUAAGCCGCCCGGAAGUUUCGAGGCGGCUUUUUU